rnacentral:rRNA from 1 species
AUGCCCGCGCUCACCGGCCCCCCGCCCGAGUUCGUCGGCCACCAGCAGGCGCUCAAGGUGAAGAACGACAUCAACCUGCGCAAGGACACCAUCCGCCUCGUGCCCGACGCCGCCGACCCUGACCGCCGCCUCGUCUCCUUCACCUUCGACGCGGUCACCGACGGCAGUUUAGUUAUACAUUACUUUGCCAAGGAAGGAAAAGACUGCAAUUUUUCUUCAGUGUACCCAGACUUGCAGACACCAACAAAGAUACCUUUCCAGAAAGGAUUGGCUCAAAAUUAUGUCCAGCCCUCUGGAUCUGGUAUUGAUCUGGGAUUCUUUUCUCUGGAUGAGCUUUCAAAUCCUUCAGAGGAAGUAUACCCACUGGUAGUUUAUGCGGAAGCUUCUCCAUCUCCAGAGGAAGGUGGUCAAACAGUAAACCCCACACGGGCACAAAUUACACUUGCUGUUAUAGAGAAACAUAACGACGAUCUUCAAGUCAAAGUUGUCAAGCAAAUAUUGUGGAUUAAUGGUGUGCGCUAUGAGCUGAAAGAAAUAUAUGGGAUUGUCAACUCCACGGAAGCUGACGUUCCUGAUGCUGACGAUGAUGGCAUGGGGAAAGAAUGUGUUAUCUGCCUGACAGAGCCAAGGGACACUGCUGUUUUUCCUUGCAGGCAUUUGUGUAUGUGCAGUGAAUGUGCACAAGCUCUAAGGCUCCAAUCAAAUAAAUGCCCCAUAUGCAGACAGCCUGUUGAGAAACUAAUGGAGAUCAAAGUUAGGAGUGCUGAGCCAUAA